GAGUAUUGAGUAGAGUUCCCUGUGCUAUGCAGUAGGUCCUUAUUAGUUAUCUAGUUUAUAUAUAGUAGUGUGUAUAUGCCAAUCCCAAUCUCCCAAUUUAUCCCCCCACCCCCCUUACCUCCUGGUAACCAUAAGUUUAUUUUCUACAUCUGUAACUCUGUUUUGGUUUUGUAGAUAAGUUCAUUUGUACCCUUUUUUUUGUACAUGCCGCAUGUAAGCGAUAUAUGAUAUUUGUCUUUCUCUGUCUGACUUACUUAGUAUGACAAUCUCUAGGUCCAUCCAUGUUGCUGCAAAUGGCAUUAUUUCAUUCUUUUUUAUGGCUGAGUAAUAUCCCAUUAUGUAUAUGUACCACAUCUUCUUUAUCCAUUCCUCUGUUGAAACUUCAUAGGAAUUUGAUUGAAAGAAACUUACGUUCUCAGUAAUACGUUUUCAGUAACAAGUUGCUAGAAGCUUGAAAAACUUUAUACAUACUAAUGAAAAUUAUAUGAAAGUAAAUGUAAGAUAAUAGGUUUGUGAACUGAGGCAAACUGAUCUUUCAAAAAUAACCUUUUCUGUAGGAGUUGAAAAAUAUGAGGGCUAACUAAGAUUUCUUCUGUAUAAGUGCUGAUGGCAACGAGCAUUGACAUAGAGCAGAAACUUCUUUAACCACCUUCCACUUAACUGGCUUCACACAUACUCCUCUCUAUGUGCUCACACCUAGUAAGGGUAUGUGCUCUUGGGGCACGUGCCCCCUUUCACUCUCACUAGUAAAACUUUAUAUACACCAUAAGAGUUAGUUUUGUUUCUUGUAACCCCAUAUCGCCAUUGUGGUUAUUAUUAUAAUUACACGUAAAUUAAAUAUCAUGUAAGAGAAUCAAACAUGAGUAUAAAUAUAAAGAGGAAAACAUUAAAUAUCUUGAUUAAGGCGAGUCACCAAAAACAAAAAUUUCCAUCAGAUUAGGUGUUGGAGCAAAAACUGAUUGUGAAGAAAAAGAAUUGUGAAAGUUCAAACUGAUGCUGAAAUCAGAUUGCUGGACUUCAAGAAACCAAUCUGGUUAUGCUGUGGAUGACGCCAUCACCCAUAUAGUUGACACUGCAACGAGUGCCAGCAAAGAGAGCCCUGCCUUAUGCUACAAGACAGACCCAUGAUGAUAGAUUUACAUCUUCUAAGUGCCUAAGGUGGCUAAUGUGUCCUAUAAUUCCCCACUUCAGGUUUUCUCAGUUAACCGACUUGCUACAGUCCUGAGGCCGUCAGACAAGGAGCUCUCCUGAACGCCUGGGUGUUGCUGCUACCUUCUUCCCACAAGUACCACCUCUCCUUCUACUCUGCGUUGUGUGGGAGCUUCCAGUGUACAUUAUUUCUGCAUUAAAGGCAUCCAACGACCCUUUCCAGCAGCAUCCAUCCACCUCAUACCCCAGACCAAACUUCUAAAACAUACAGCUAGAAGAGGAUGUCUGCAAACAUUUAGACAGUUCAAAAAAGCAUCUUCGGAUAUGAUAUUCAAAGUGGACUGCUCUGCAGGGAGAACAGCAGAGAGGGUACCAGCGGUUUCCCAGGCCACCAGCAACCAGCACCAACAUCUUUCCUCGUCGUCAGCUCCAGGCUUUACAGUGAAGACACUUCUCCCCAUUCAACUCCAUUCCACGCUAGAAAUAAGGGCGAAAACCAGCACACAAGCCCAGAUUUAUGAUGGAGCUGUGUGCCUGCCCAGGAAGUCUUGGAGUUUUGCUCUCAUUCUCAGCUUCAUAAUAAAAUGUAAAAGAGCUGGGGGCAGUCAAUUCAGCUCAUUGGAUAUUCUCAGCAAGUAGUAACUAAUGGAUUUUAACAUAGAAAAUUAUAUCAUUUUCAGUCAGUUAAUAAUAGCAAGGUUCUAAUUUACCUUAAAAGAAUCCAUAACCCAUAAUAGAGCAAAGACCUGAAAUAAUUGCCCUAAAAGAGAUUAGACGUUCUUUGUGUUUACUUCCACUGAACACGCAUAUUUUGAAAUACCAGAAAAUAGCAAAAAAUUUUAAUCAAUAUUUCCAAAUCCUCCACACCCUGUCUUCUAGAUUCUGCCUUCUUCCCCUUGCAAAACAUAUCAACAACAGAAAGCAAACAAGGAAUUAAACGAAGAAAAUAUACACUAGGAUUGUGAACAAGU